GACGAACGCUGGCGGCGUGCUUAACACAUGCAAGUCGAACGGAAAGGCCCUGCUUUUGUGGGGUGCUCGAGUGGCGAACGGGGGAGUAACACGGGAGUAACCUGCCCUUGCCUUUGGGAUAACUUCAGGAAACUGGGGCUAAUACCGGAUAGGAGCUCCUGCUGCAUGGUGGGGGUUGGAAAGUUUCGGCGGUUGGGGAUGGACUCGCGGCUUAUCAGCUUGUUGGUGGGGUAGUGGCUUACCAAGGCUUUGACGGGUAGCCGGCCUGAGAGGGUGACCGGCCACAUUGGGACUGAGAUACGGCCCAGACUCCUACGGGAGGCAGCAGUGGGGAAUAUUGCACAAUGGGCGGAAGCCUGAUGCAGCAACGCCGCGUGCGGGAUGACGGCCUUCGGGUUGUAAACCGCUUUCGCCUGUGACGAAGCGUGAGUGACGGUAAUGGGUAAAGAAGCACCGGCUAACUACGU
rnacentral:rRNA from 1 species